rnacentral:rRNA from 1 species
AGCGAACGUUUGCGGCGGGCUUAACACAUGCAAGUCGAACGAGAAUCCCUUCGGGGAGGAAAGUGGCGCACGGGUGCGUAACACGUGGAUAACCAACCCAUUGGUUUGGGACAACACCGGGAAACUGGUGCUAAUACCAGAUGUGUCGCAGCUGUCUUCAGGCGGUUGCGAGAAAGGCCCGCAAGGGUCGCCAACGGACGGGUCCGCGUCCCAUCAGCUAGUUGGUGAGGUAAUGGCUCACCAAGGCAAAGACGGGUAGCUGGUCUGAGAGGAUGAUCAGCCACACUGGAACUGAGACACGGUCCAGACUCCUACGGGAGGCAGCAGUGGGGAAUAUUGCGCAAUGGGCGAAAGCCUGACGCAGCCACGCCGCGUGAGCGAUGAAGGUCUUCGGAUCGUAAAGCUCUGUGGGGGGAGAAGAGGAAAGCCGGUGAAGAGCCGGCCCUGACGGUAUCCCCUUAGCAAGCACCGGCUAACUCCGUGCCAGCAGCCGCGGUAAAGU